rnacentral:rRNA from 1 species
CCUACGGGUGGCAGCAGUGAGGGAUAUUGGUCAAUGGACGCAAGUCUGAACCAGCCAUGCCGCGUGCAGGAAGACGGCUCUAUGAGUUGUAAACUGCUUUUGUACGGGGGUAAACGCAGAUACGUGUAUCUGUCUGCACGUAUCGUACGAAUAAGGAUCGGCUAACUCCGUGCCAGCAGCCGCGGUAAUACGGAGGAUUCAAGCGUUAUCCGGAUUUAUUGGGUGUAAAGGGCGCGGAGGCGGUGGGGUAAGUUAGAGGUGAAAUCCCGGGGCUCAACUGCGGAAUUGCCUCUGGUACUGUUCGGCUAGAGAGUAUUUGCGGCAGGCGGAAUGUGUGGUGUAGCGGUGAAAUGCUUAGAGAUCAUACAGAACACCGAUGGCGAAGGCAGCUUACUAAGCUACUACUGACGUUGAGGCACGAAAGCGUGGGGAGCAAACAGGAUUAGAUACCCUUGUAGUC